rnacentral:rRNA from 1 species
UACAGAGGUCUCAAGCGUUUGUUCGGAUUUAUUGGGCGUAAAGGGUGCGCAGGCCGCAUGGUAAGUCUGGUGUGAAAUCCUGGAGCUUAACUCCAGAAUUGCACUGGAUACUGCCGUGCUAGAGGACUGGAGAGGAGAUUGGAAUUCACGGUGUAGCAGUGAAAUGCGUAGAUAUCUGGAGGAACACCGGUGGCGAAGGCGGCAUCCUGGACCAAUUCUGACGCUGAGGAGCGAAAGCCAGGGGAGCAAACGGG